rnacentral:rRNA from 1 species
CGCGUAGGCGGUUUUUUAAGUCAGAUGUGUAAUCCCCGAGCUCAACUUGGGAACUGCAUCUGAGACUGGGAGGCUAGAGUACUGGAGAGGGUGGUGGAAUUCCUCGUGUAGAGGUGAAAUUCGUAGAGAUUGGGAAGAACACCCAUGGCGAAGGCGGCCAACUGGACCGACAUUGACGCUGAGGCGCGAAAGCGUGGGGAUCAAACAGGAUUAGAUACCCUGGUAGUCCACGCCGUAAACGAUGCAUGCUAGACGUUGGAAGUCUUAGACUUCUUGUGUCGCAGCUAACGCAUUAAGCAUGCCGCCUGGGGAGUACGGCCGCAAGGUUGAA